rnacentral:rRNA from 1 species
AAACAUGGCUCUUUGAAUUAUUUUUAUAGGGAGUCAGGCCUGCCCAGUGAAAUUUACUUUAACGGCCGCGGUACUCUGACCGUGCAAAGGUAGCAUAAUCAUUUGCCUUAUAAUUGAAGGCUAGUAUGAAUGGUUUAACGAGAGCAGCACUGUCUCUUUUUUAUUUUCAAGAACUUAACCUUUAGGUGAAGAGGCCUAAAUUUUAUUGAAGGACAAGAAGACCCUGUCGAGCUUAAAAGACACUAUAGAAGUUUAUAUAUACCUAAAUAAAUUUUCUGUUAAGCUUUUUAGUUGGGGCGACUAAGGAACAAAAAAAGCUUCUUAAGCAAAACAAACAUUCAAGUUUUGAUCCGGCGAUAGCCGAUUUAAGGAAUUAGUUACCGCAGGGAUAACAGCAUAAUCUCUCUUGAGAGACCUAAUCGAAAGAGGGGGUUGUGACCUCGAUGUUGGACUAGAAUAUCCUAAAGAUGCAGAAGUCUUUAAGGGUCGGUCUGUUCGACCGUUAAAAUUUUACGUGAUC